rnacentral:rRNA from 1 species
AUGGCCCACAACGACCGGCCUUACUCGUUCGGGCUCAGCAUCACGGGCACGGACGAGGAAUUAACGAAAGGGUCAUGGGCCCAGAGCAAUCAAUCUUAUCACGCGCGUAUCUAUCGCCCCUUCCCAAAUAUUCUCAUGCUCCGCUCCCACCUCCCCCAUUAUCUGCAACAACCUCUGAUCACCUCCGAUUCACACGCGACCUUCUCCUCCAAGGCCAGUCCCAUCGAACGCCGCCGACCUGUUCACCGGCUGUAUCGGAGCCGCCGUCCUCACCCACGGGAACGGAGCUGCCGCCGACCGCCCAUCUGCCCUGCGGAAUACGACCGUCACUGCUUGUUCUUCGUCCACAUGUUGGAUUUAAGGCGAGAAUGCCGGCUCUUAUCAUCACAUCGUGAUCCGCCUCUCUGCUCGCCACCGGCGCUAACUCUCUCAGCCAUGCCAUCUUGCAAUGACUCGCGCCAGCAUAUAGAAAUAAAAACCAAGAAUAUCGGAGUGGCUAGUUCGUCCAAUAGUUAUGCUGACACAGAAUUACCACUACCAGACGUAACCAAUCAGGCUUUUUUGGAGGAACUCAGUGUGAAACAUGCAAAUAUGAGGUUAUCGUGCUCACCUUCAAGGUUCGCGGACACGAUCGACAGAUUAGAUCCUGACCAGCAAAAGGUCGUCUACAGUAAAACUGGUCUUGGAGGGCUAACACAGAUGAAGUCAGUGUCUCUCCGGCGUAUUAUGUUGGUGCUGCUAGCCAGUGGAAAACCACUUGCUAUACUAACAUACCACAACAGAGGACGGACGGACGAGUACGAAGCAAGCAUUCCAGAAGAACGAAAAGGUGCAGAUGACGACAUCACGAUCAUCAUCAACCCUGAUGUUACAAACAAACCAGACACAUCUGGUGCCCCAAAGCGUAAACGUGGACACCCGAGGAAGAAUGCCCCUCCUAGUAAUCCAGUCAAACAACAAUUUGACACCAAGACUAUCGCUAAACAAGUGAGAACUAUGUUUGAGGCACGGGUCAUGUACGUCUUGAGCUCCCGAUUCACCUUCUCCUCGUCCCACAUGAACCCCUGGAUGUUCUGCACCCACUCCAACUUAGUUUUGUGGCAAAAUGUUGGUGUUCUUGCCUCGUCGGCCUCGGGAGCUGCCGGGAGGAGCACGUCGCAAUCUUCCGUGAGCAGCGAGGUCGGGUCGACGGCGUCGGCUCCGUGGGAGCCCUUGAUCCCGCGGUUCUCUGCCGAGUGCUUCGUCAACUUGGCUAUGUCAAUGCCAUUGGAGUUCUUGACAGCAGCUAUCUUUUUUCAUACCUACGAUCAGCAGCUAUCACCUAGGAGAAAUGCAUGUAUAAGAAACUCAGCCAGCUUCAUUGAGAAGGGGGAGAUAUACCUAUGUACUCCGGCUCCUUUAGCUGAACUCCUCCACCUAUCGCUGGGACGACCGGUCCGGGGUGGCCGUCAUACCCGCGCUCUCUUGACGGCGAGAAGCCGCGACCGCAUUAGAUGUUUGUCCUCCAGCCCCUGGGACCCCUCCGCCGCCGCCGGCGGGGUCAUCGGCUCCGCCUCCUCGCCCGAGCGGCCAUCCUCGCCGACCCCUCAGCCGCCGCCGCCGCCGCCGCCUGAGUCAUCGGUGGCACCGCCCUAUCCUACCAAGCUGCUUCGAACAGAUAGGGCAACGAGGGGAGCGAACAUAACAUUGCACGCUUGCUGGGAUACCACGCUUGUGAAGGUGGGGUCGCUCUUGGACGACGCGGAUUUCUUCGAGCCGCUCACCAGGGCCGAGUUCAAGGAGCUCAACCAUGAUCUGCUGGCGAGAGCUACCAGAUGCGCCGACGAGAUCAUCAUCGUAGGCGGCAGCGUGAGGAUCCCCAAGAUUCUUGCAUUUUUCAAGGGCUACUUCCAUGGCCGGGAGCCAAUCAUAGAGGAGGAAGCGGCGAUUCGCGGCGCUGCUCUGCUCUCCGGUCCCGAGUCAGCAAUGUUCACAUACGACAACUGUGAUAGUUACGACUGCCGUGGGAACCCUUUGCAGUGGAUGGCAACCAAGAUGUGGAGUGCUAGGCAUGUUUUACAUGUCCGUGGAUACAAGAAUCCAGAGCCAGAGAUGAUCGAGAGGGAUUUCAUUAGUUAUUUUGAUAUAAAGGAGAAGAUCAAAGGAAUUGGUUUCCAACCAUUUGGACAACGUUUAAAUCAGUUUACAUGUUUGAUUGAGGGCGAGCAACGCAAACGAGAAGCCAUGGGAGGCGAGCGUGGCGUGCGGCCGACUUGGGCGUUGUGCGUUGGACAUGACGCGAGCGACCGCCAUCGGGCCAAGCCGGUCGGGAGAAGUUGCGCGGCCCGGUUCAGCAGUGAGAAAAAUAGCCAGGAAAAACCACUGAUGUGGAGGGAGUGGCGACCAGUGAAGAAAAGAUUUCAGUAUGAAACCAUGUGGGAAAGAUCGGAUGAGCUUCAGGGAGUUAUUAGCAAUGCUUGGUUAGAUGGAGAUACGAGUCGAUCACUUGCUGAUGUUACUAGAAAACUAAGAAGUAUGCAAGAUGUUCUUGGCCGGUGGGCUGCAAAGGAGUUCAACUCUGUCCAAAACAAAAUCAGUUCCCUUAGAGAUAGUUUGAAAGGGUUGUGGACGCUGCCCCUGAACACUGUGACGGAAGGAAAAAUAAAACGAACAGAAUCUGAACUCGAUGAAUGGCUCCAUAGGGAGGAAAUGAUGUGGAGACAGAGAGCUCGCAUAAAUUGGUUGAGAGAGGGAGAUAAAAAUACAGAGUUCUUUCAUAGAAGGGCCACAUGGCAAAGGAGGAAAAACAAAAUCCUAAAGUUGCAGCGCGAGGAUGGUAGUUGGGCAGAACAACCUGAAGAAAUACAUACUGAAAUAAACAAUUUCUUUCAAGGACUAUAUAAGAGAGAUGAUGCGGUGGCGCCGGAGGACCUGUUAAACUUGAUACCAGGGAGAGUGGACGAUGGGAUGAACGAAGCCCUAACAAAACCGUUUGAGGAUGAGAGCCUUUUGGUUGCGGCGCCUCACGGGUCCGAUGUGGAUAUGCACGAGGGUGACGGCAGCGCAGGAGCGAGGGAGCCGCCGGUCGAGGAUUCUGGACGACAGAUGUCCAAGGGACCGGGGCCCGAGACUGCGAUGACCGAGAAGGGAGCGGAGGCACCCUCCUCGCUGCCUGUGACGUCACUGAGAUUUGGGUCCUUCGAACCCGCUUCUGCACCCCCGAGGCUGUGGAGUGAUCGGGUUGAGUCCGACGAGGCUUUUGAGCUUGCGUUGCCUGCUUUGGGGUUUGAGGAUACUGACUGUUCUAUGCCUGUGGUUACUGAGGUUUCGUCGAUCUCGGGCAGCGGAGAGGUGGAGGUGAGUCGGCAGGUGGCCACUCUCUCUCCUGCUCAGCACGUUGUCCAUCCUCAGGGCGUGGCGCCAGUGUUUGUGGAUGGGUUGUCGGGAGGGACCCCGGGGCAGGCGGCCUCGGGUCGCUCUUCUCCGGCUGAGGUAGGGGACUCGGGGCAGGUGGCUCCCGUGUCCAUCUCUGCGUUGGGAGGGGGUCUGAGGCAGGUGGCCAUGGAUACCUCCUCUCCCGUCGCCUGUUCCUCUCUGCUGGUGGCGUCGGUGCCUUUGGGGGGGGGGCUCGGGGCAGGUGGCCUCGGGGCCUCCUUCUCCUAA